GCACCAAAUUCCUCUCUCUGCAUUUUCAAAAUUUGAAUUCCUGAAUGAAAAGAGAGGAGAGGAAGACAGAGAGAGAAUGAGAAAUAUAGAGAGAGAGGCGAUGGAGAAGGAGAGAUGACGGCAUGAGAAACCCUAAAUUACAAAAUCGUUCAGAUCUUGAAGGAUUUCCGAUACGAAACCUUUGUUAGGGGGCUACAAUCGAAUGGACAAAAGGUUGAGAGGCAUCGAUUUUGUCAUAAUCGAGAGAAGGAUGAACGGGCAGCGACGAACUGGGUUUCGACAGGAGUUUUAAGGGUAAGUUUUUAUUGAGUUUUCUUUUGCUUUUUGGCUCGAUUGAAGCCCUAAUUUGUUGUUAUUUUCUGCUUUGGUUUUGAUUUCAAUGAUGGAUGUUUGAUUUGAGGAUUUGGAAAGGCAUAGCAAGUGUUUGACGAAAUUGAGAUUAUCAUUUCAUUUAAAAGUUGCUGAUGCAAAAGAAGUUGCUUCCGUAAGUGCCAUUGCUAAUGAGAAGUUAAAAGCAGAGUAAGAAGCUACUGGUAAUAAAAAGAAAAUAGAUAACUUCAAGGGUUAAACGGGUGACGAUGACACAAUCACGAAGUAGACCUAGGUGAUCGGAAUAGUAUGGUUAUCUCCAGCUUGCCCUGCAACCAAGGUGCUUAUUUGACACUUCGUGAUAUUGCAUGGGGUAAGAUAACCCAAGUGAUUUGGACGUUGGAUGUGGAGUUGCAAGCUUUAGGGAAUAUCUUUUUGAGAUAGACGUGGUUGCAUUUCGUUUGCUCCAAAGGAUGAACAUGAAGCUAAAGGAAUUUGCACUAGAAAGAGGAUGACGGGCUACUGUAUACAACGUGUGGGAGUCCUAUCUAUGUUGCUCCUGGGAUUCUUUCCAACAGGGGAUAUGAUGGCGCAACAUCAGAUGCAAGAAAUCUUGCAGUUCUAUCAGAUUUUUAAAGGGAUGUACAGAUGCUGAAGUGGUCACCUUCAGGAGUGGGAGCUUAGGCUGUGCCUCCAGGUCAGCCCACACAGCUGGCAGCUUUCCGAAUCGGACUUCGACAUUAGCUUGUGUGUGCAUCUUCGAGGUCUUGUAUGUUCUCAACACACUCAUGCAGACAUUUCAAAAUAAAGUGCUUGCUCCUGCUGUCACAAGUUAGAUAAAAUGGUUUAACGAUGUAUUAUGGACCUAUCGUAACAUUUAUAUUUUCAUGGUCAUAUCAAUGGUCAAGAUCCAACUCUUGAUUCUCUUGUUAAGUUGACAAGCCUUUUGAUUAUUUAUGAUUUUACUGUCUUGUAGUUUACAUUUGUUUCAUGUAUUAAUCAAAUUGGCACUUUGUUUCAUGUAUUAAUCAAUGGUGAUGUUUGUGACA